AACGUAGGAGACAAACGUUAUCCGGAGUUACUGGGCGUAAAGGGCGUGUAGGUGGUUUCGUAAGUCUGGCGUGAAAUAUCUCGGCUUAACCGAGGCAGGUCGUCGGAUACUGCGGAACUAGAGGACGGUAGAGGCGUGUGGAAUUCCGGGUGUAGUGGUGAAAUGCGUAGAGAUCCGGAGGAACACCAGUGGCGAAGGCGACACGCUGGGCCGUACCUGACACUGAGGCGCGAUAGCAUGGGGAGCAAACAGG
rnacentral:rRNA from 1 species